GUCCAUGGGCGGCGGUAUCACUUAACAUCAGGUGAGCCUCCUGCCCGUUUGCCCCCUGUUGUAUAAAAAAAACUUACAUUUAAACCAUAUACUGUAUCUCCGAUUAAUACUAACUACGAUAAACGAUAUAUAUAUAUAGACGGGCAGUGGUAUCGUGUCAUCAGAAUAAGGCUGUAAUAAAAUAAUUUACACUAGAUCCCUAGUUUAUAUGAAGGGUGAAUGAUUUGGCGCGAAGCAGUGCACUACCUACGAUUGGAUAUCACGCAUCAUGAGGGCUUAUAUUUUUAUAUCUCUCUUGAUCCUCCACGUAGCAACAGCUCAUUUACACUUGGAAAAAGUUGCAGAAAAGGUACAAUCGGGAAUAAAGCACAUUGCAGAAAAAGCUGUUUCGAAGCUUCACAAAUUGACAGCAGAUUUUGACUUACACAAGCAUGGACAUAAAAUACAACCAUAUGCUAAACAUUAUGUAAAAGAGCAUUAUACGAGAAAAACACCGUUUGUUGUGGACCCUUAUCAAAUUGAACGAUUGAAGCACUAUUUUGAACCUCAUAAGCCAAUACCUUAUCAUAUACCUCAUUAUGGACCUUAGAGCUUUUAAUGUCAAAAUUCUUUCUAUUAAUUGUAAUUUAUAAUCGUAAUCGGUGUUUUCAAAUUAAUUUUAAAAUAUUCUAUUGAAUUAAAUAGAUCGAAUUUUCUUUAGGAUAAAAAGUUUUAAAAUGUUCAUUUAUGUACAAACAAUUGUUGUUAAUAUGCCCAAGUGAUUGUAAUAAUAAAUUAAUAAUACCGAU